UACGUAGGGGGCUAGCGUUGUCCGGAAUCAUUGGGCGUAAAGCGCGUGUAGGCGGUCCGGUAAGUCCGCUGUGAAAGUCGGGGGCUCAACCCUCGGAUGCCGGUGGAUACUGUCGGGCUUGAGUACGGAAGAGGCGAGUGGAAUUCCUGGUGUAGCGGUGAAAUGCGCAGAUAUCAGGAGGAACACCGAUUGCGAAGGCAGCUCGCUGGGACGUCACUGACGCUGAGACGCGAAAGCGUGGGGAGCAAACAGG
rnacentral:rRNA from 1 species